UACGAAGGGUCCAAGCGUUAUCCGGAUUUAUUGGGUUUAAAGGGUGCGUAGGCGGCUUAUUAAGUCAGUGGUGAAAGACUUCAGCUUAACUGAAGAACUGCCAUUGAUACUGAUGAGCUUGAAUAUACUUGAGGUGGGCGGAAUGUGUCAUGUAGCGGUGAAAUGCUUAGAUAUGACACAGAACACCGAUUGCGAAGGCAGCUCGCUAAAGUAUGAUUGACGCUGAGGCACGAAAGCGUGGGGAGCAAACAGG
rnacentral:rRNA from 1 species